rnacentral:rRNA from 1 species
GACGAACGCUGGCGGCGUGCUUAACACAUGCAAGUCGAGCGGUAAGGCCCUUUCGGGGGUACACGAGCGGCGAACGGGUGAGUAACACGUGGGUGACCUGCCCUCAGCUCUGGGAUAAGCCUGGGAAACCGGGUCUAAUACCGGAUAUGACUCCAUGACGCAUGUUGUGGGGUGGAAAGCCUUGUGCGGCUGAGGAUGGGCCCGCGGCCUAUCAGCUUGUUGGUGGGGUGAUGGCCUACCAAGGCGACGACGGGUAGCCGGCCUGAGAGGGCGACCAGCCACACUGGGACUGAGACACGGCCCAGACUCCUACGGGAGGCAGCAGUGGGGAAUCUUGCGCAAUGGGCGAAAGCCUGACGCAGCGACGCCGCGUGA